GUGGGGAAUUUUGGACAAUGGGCGCAAGCCUGAUCCAGCAAUGCCGCGUGCAGGAAGAAGGCCUUCGGGUUGUUAACUGCUUUUGUACGGAACGAAACGGCUCUCGUUAAUACCCGGGGCUAAUGACGGUACCGUAAGAAUAAGCACCGGCUAACUACGUGCCAGCAGCCGCGGUAAUACGUAGGGUGCAAGCGUUAAUCGGAAUUACUGGGCGUAAAGCGUGCGCAGGCGGUUUUGUAAGACAGGCGUGAAAUCCCCGGGCUCAACCUGGGAAUGGCGCUUGGGACUGCAAAGCUGGAGUGCGGCAGAGGGGGAUGGAAUUCCGCGUGUAGCAGUGAAAUGCGUAGAUAUGCGGAGGAACACCGAUGGCGAAGGCAAUCCCCUGGGCCUGCACUGACGCUCAUGCACGAAAGCGUGGGGAGCAAACAGGAUUAGAUACCCCGGUAGUCC
rnacentral:rRNA from 1 species